GGAUGGUUCAGUCGGUAGAGCACGAGACUCCUAAUCUUAGGGUUGUGGGUUCAAGCUCCACGUUGGGCAACA